UGAAGAGCCAAGCGUCAAAAAUGGUUAAAAUGAGUCAUAUCUGAGUUGAUAUGACAGAAAUAACUGCUCAGACUUAAAAAAAUGUGGUUCAUCAAAGACAUGCAGUAUAGCAUAUGUAUAUGUAUGUGUAUAGCAUAGAAAAGACCAGAAAUACUUUUUCUCCUCCUUUGCUUCUUUCACAUAGAUUUAAAUUGAGUCACACAGGACUACAUGACUGGUAAAUCAGAAUAGAUUCCUCAUUACAGUCACAUGAGCACUUAAGCUGUCGAUUGCUUUUUUUCAUUAACAUUUCUGCAUGAAUUCUGGAGAAAAAAAGACCAAAAGAAACAAAAACAGGUGCUGUACAGCCUGAGAGAUAUUGAAACUAUUGACUCAGAACUUUACUCAGCCCAUAUUAUAAACACCUAAAAUAAACAAAGAAAGUAGUUGAUUAGAUUCACCAAACAGUCACAUCCACUAAAUGUAAAAAAUACUUUUAUUAUAGACUCAUACAGUAGUUACAAAAUCCUGAGGAGCAAUUGUGCACAUAAGCUUGUCUGAGGCACCACUAGGUGACAGAACAGGAUAAAAUGGUGAAUGCUACUCUGAUCUGAUAAUCAAAUCCAAAAUAUUAUAAAGAAAUGCUAAAACGAAAUAAGGACACAUGCUUAAAAUAUAAAGAUCCAUUUGGUACAGUUGAGAAAUAAAAAGCUUAAAUAGCUACAUAUACUAAAAAAAAGAAAAAAAGAAAUACUAUAUUCUCUCUGUCUUAGAGUCAUUUACAUGCAGCUCAAUAGUCACUGGAGCGAGUUGUAGCCUCCCUCAGUAGUGCAUAAUUCACAGAAAACAGAAAAAGCAGACUGACCUGCCAAAACAGUGUUUAACGUCACCAUGACUCUUUAAGUAAACAGAAGCCACCAGCAGACCGUAAAGCUGAGGAGGCACAUGUGGCUCAUCCAUUUAGUUUAGCCAAUGUCCAUGAAAUUUAAAAUCCAAGAUAACAGAACAGCUGCCAGAUAUCGUCCAUGUCUUCACAUAGAAGCUCUCUGAUGUACUCUUACCCUCAACUUGUUGUGUUUUCUGGAGAGAAAAAAAACGAGACAACCAACACAAAUGAGUGUGUUUGCAUGCAAUAAAGCAGUGAAAUGGAAUAGGUGCUUAUCAAGAAAUGGGGCACAAUUUGUGUUUUUGUGACGAGCUCAGAUACAAAGUUCAGACGUGUGACCCCUAAAAGCAGGUGAACAAACUGCUGUUUGCUCGACUACAGUGUCAACAAGAUCCAACAGAAGCUUCGGCAAAAUCAAGUUUCAACUUGCACCCGUUCCUUACCGUUGUGGCGGUGACACCAUACACUUCCACAGAAUAGCAUACAGUCCAAGCAAAAAGGCGAUGAACAAUGCGGCUGCAAUGGAACCUAAAAAGCACAAAAACAUUCAUGUUUUACAAAUUCAUUCAUAUCAUGCAUUAGCACUUAAAUCUCUAAGGGAAGCGUCGUACGAUAUGCUGCUUCUGUAAUAUCUGACAAGCAUGCAUAAUUUGUUUACAUGCUUUUAUUACUGAAUUCAUCUGUUCUUAAACAGAUAAUAAAAACUUAUAUGGCUCUAUAUGCUCAUAUACACACUCCUCAUUUCCCUAUCUAUUUGCUUAAUAGUAUUAAAAGAAAGAUUCACUCUGCAAGAAAAAACAAGACGAAUCCUGUUUAGCACUUCGUGCAUUUCUUUUGCCACUUCUUAGACCUCUAAUCUCUUAUGAUACAAAGACAAUAUAAAGUGCAGUUAUAAAUUCUGGGACUCCACCCACAAAACCUGAACAUCGAUGCUGUAAUUCCUUAUCUGACUCACGAUCCAUCACAAUUCACAGGUUACUGCAGUGUGUAAAGUACGCAGAGAACUUGAUGAGUUUUCUUGUCAUUGGUUGGCUCUACUUCACAAUGAGUGUGAAUAAGAGAAGGACCCUCGCAAACAAUCAUAUCAAUUUAGGAAUAUUAUGAUUACAGAGACGCACUUAACACAUCAACAUGUCGCAGCAUUGACCAUAUGACCAGAUCCUAAUAGAAUGGUGACAGGAAAGUCACCAAAAAAAAAAGAAAAAAAAGGUGUGAAAUGACAAAUAUAAACUUGACCUUGAGGACAGUUUGGGUGAAAACCCUUUAGCUGGUCGGUGUGUGUAGGUUUUACAAAAAUCUUAAAAAUACUCUAGAAGUGCCGAUUCUUGUAAACUGUAAACAGAUGGAUGAAAAUACCUUACCAUAGCAUGGUGUUAAAAAAAUAAUAUAAAAAUCCUUUAGUUAAAUUUGCCCCCUCCCCUUCAUGAGCAUCUUUCUUUUCUGCAUCUCAGUGCACAGCUUUUCCUCCAGUGUGUCAAAUUGGUAGCGUGUUGACUUGCAUUUUUGUUUCAGGGAAGCGGCCUGCCUGCAGACCAGACCUUUUAUCACUUUAAAAUAUUUAGUGCAUCAUGAAACAAACAGUUUGAAAAGAAGAACCAGAACUGCUGAGCAGCUAGAAUCCUACAUCAGACAACAGAAGGAAAGUCCUCUCACAAAAGUCCAGCAGCUGGUCUCCUCUGUUCCCAGAUGUUUACAGAGCGCUGUUUAAAAAAAAAAAAAAAAACAAACCCAAAAAACCCCCAAAAAAACCAAAGAAACCACAUCUCAACUUUUUUGAGAUGUGUUGCUACCACCAAAGUCAAAAUUCCAUUUUGUUUUUACAUCGCAUCUCAACUUUUUGGAUUUGGAGUUGUUGUGUUAAUGGAUAACACAACAAGAGGAUGCUUCAGGUCAUGCAUUUAUCCUGAUACGCUAAGAAACCUGAAGUCAUCAUCUUAAAACUGCUAUUUGUCUCUCCGGGCUGUAGCUACAGAAUCAGCUCUCAUUACCAGGGUUGAUCCUUUGCCACAUAAGUUGAUGUUUGCUCUGUGCACAAUGGGCCUUCCAGGCAGCGAUGUUUAAAAAACAAACAAACAAACAAACAAACAAACAAAAAACCCCCUCCAGAUACACAAGGAAAUGACUGAAGGAGAGAGACAUCAAAUUUACAUCAGGUAGGUUUUUUAUUUUUAUGACCACUGUCCCUAAAAUGUAUGACUGCACCUAAUAAUAAUGAUGGGAUUUCAUUCGACUUUCAAGUUCUGGGUGUUUGAUCCUCUUCACUUACACUUAUCUCAAACAUCAGAUAAAAA
ensembl:lncRNA